GGUCGUAUUACGUUGAAACAUCGGUCCCUAUACGUUCACCGAAGUUAAGCAACGUCGAGUCUGGUCAGUACCUAGAUGGGUGACCGCUUGGGAAUACCAG